GACGUAGGGCGCGAGCGUUGUCCGGAUUUAUUGGGCGUAAAGAGCUCGUAGGCGGCUUGUCGCGUCGACUGUGAAAACCCGCGGCUCAACCGUGUGGCUUGCAGUUGAUACGGGCAGACUAGAGUGUGGUAGGGGAGACUGGAAUUCCUGGUGUAGCGGUGAAAUGCGCAGAUAUCAGGAGGAACACCGAUGGCGAAGGCAGGUCUCUGGGCCACUACUGACGCUGAGGAGCGAAAGCAUGGGGAGCGAACAGG
rnacentral:rRNA from 1 species